ACAUGGUAAUGGAUUUAUGGCAAAUCUUUCCCUGUAGGUUUUUCAUAGUGUAUCCAUACCAGAGUAAACUCCAACCUGGAACCAUUGCACAGCCUCCUUACCCAGGGGCUGUGAGAACUGUAGGGGGUUGCACAGUG